rnacentral:rRNA from 1 species
AAGCUGGCCACCGGAAACGCGAAGAACCUUACCAAGUCUUGACAUCCCGAUGACCGGUUCGUAAUGGAACCUUUUCUUCGGAAUAUCGGUGACAGGUGGUGCAUGGUUGUCGUCAGCUCGUGUCGUGAGAUGUUGGGUUAAGUCCCGCAACGAGCGCAACCCUUAUCUUCAGUAGCCAGCGAUUCGGUCGGGCACUCUGGAGAGACUGCCAGGGAUAACCUGGAGGAAGGUGGGGAUGACGUCAAAUCAUCAUGCCCCUUAUGACUUGGGCUACACACGUGCUACAAUGGCGUAAACAAAGGGAAGCGAGAGUGUGAGCUUAAGCAAAUCUCAAAAAUAACGUCUCAGUUCGGAUUGUAGUCUGCAACUCGACUACAUGAAGCUGGAAUCGCUAGUAAUCGCGAAUCAGAAUGUCGCGGUGAAUACGUUCCCGGGUCUUGUACACACCGA